CUUUACACAUGCAAGUCGAACGGCAGCACGGACUUCGGUCUGGUGGCGAGUGGCGAACGGGUGAGUAACAUAUCGGAACGUAUCCAAUAAUGGGGGAUAACUAAUCGAAAGGUUGGCUAAUACCGCAUACGCCCUACGGGGGAAAGCUAGGGACCUUCGGGCCUGGCGUUAAUGGAGCGGCCGAUAUCUGAUUAGCUAGUUGGUGAGGUAAAGGCUCACCAAGGCGACGAUCAGUAGCUGGUCUGAGAGGACGACCAGCCACACUGGAACUGAGACACGGUCCAGACUCCUACGGGAGGCAGCAGUGGGGAAUUUUGGACAAUGGGCGCAAGCCUGAUCCAGCCAUUCCGCGUGAGUGAAGAAGGCCUUCGGGUUGUAAAGCUCUUUCGCAAGGGAAGAAAACUUAGCCACUAACAUUGGCUGAGGUUGACGGUACCUUGAUAAGAAGCACCGGCUAACUACGUG
rnacentral:rRNA from 1 species